rnacentral:rRNA from 1 species
GACGAACGCUGGCGGCGUGCUUAACACAUGCAAGUCGAACGGAAAGGCCCUGCUUGCAGGGUACUCGAGUGGCGAACGGGUGAGUAACACGUGGGUGAUCUGCCCUGCACUUCGGGAUAAGCCUGGGAAACUGGGUCUAAUACCGGAUAGGAGCCAUUUUUAGUGUGAUGGUUGGAAAGUUUUUUCGGUGUAGGAUGAGCUCGCGGCCUAUCAGCUUGUUGGUGGGGUAAUGGCCUACCAAGGCGGCGACGGGUAGCCGGCCUGAGAGGGUGGACGGCCACAUUGGGACUGAGAUACGGCCCAGACUCCUACGGGAGGCAGCAGUGGGGAAUAUUGCACAAUGGGCGCAAGCCUGAUGCAGCGACGCCGCGUGGGGGAUGACGGCCUUCGGGUUGUAAACUCCUGUCGCUAGGGACGAAGCUUUUUGUGACGGUACCUAGAUAAGAAGCACCGGCUAACUACGUG